GGGCCGGUAGUUCAGCCUGGUAUGAACGUUCGGUUCGCAACCGAAAGGUCGCGGGUUCAAAUCCCGCCCGGUCCA
rnacentral:tRNA from 1 species